rnacentral:lncRNA from 1 species
GAGGCGGAGGUGGAGAUUGGGCGGAGGCAGGCAGAUUUCUUUGAGUUUGAGACCAGCCAGGGAUGCUGAGCGAGAUCUCUCAAGCAAAAAUAAGCAGCACAGGGAGGUUUAUUGCUUGCAGCAAGCAAGGAGCAAGCUGGGGACCAUUCAAAGCAGUGUCUCCCUAGACAUUCUGACUUUCUGGAUUUUUCUCUUUUCUUUCCGUGCUAGUACAGAAGAGACCUUCUGUGUGUAGGGUUCUCUCUGCAGCUGACUUUCCCUGCCCUCCCGUGCUUUCUGAUUCUGACAGGAUGACUCAGACCGGUAUGGGGAACUCAGGGGAACUCGGCUGGAAUCCACUUGCUCACUCCCAGCUCCAGAGAGAAGGAAGGAUCCCCUAGCACCCUAAGCUGACUGAGGGUUUGCCCCUUCCUCCUGUGGUCUCUUUCCCAAGAGUCCCAUCUUCUGGCUCCCAGAGCAACUCCCCUUUGAAAUGUCCUACCCCAUCCAAACCAUUUCUACUCUCUUAUGCUCGUCCUGCUUGACUGGGUCAAUUUCCAAGCAGCAAAAGCCAUGUCUUGAGGGGUGGGGAUUCCUGGAAAAGGUAACUUGGGUGGUUUUGCGUCUGAGUUUCCAUAUCCCAAACCCAUUCAAUGUUCUUGAUGGAUCCUGGGCUUAUCGCUUCCUGGAAACCACUGGUCGAGUGUGCUGCCUGCCACCGCCUUUACUCUGAAACACACCUCCAGGAGGAGGGGACAGCUGCAGUCUGCAGCUGGGAAUAAUAAAAGCUCAGUAGACUGGCACAACCU